UUUGCGUGCACGUUCACGUUUUGUCGUAUGCUGCGCAGUUUCAAACUUCCUUUCUGUUCCUGCGAACGUUCCGGCAAUGUCGAAAAAAAAGAAACGAGGAAAGGAUACAAGGCUUGCUGCGUGGCUGUGUGAUGUGGCAACUCGGGGAGCAACGCAAAGAGCGAAAUUUUUCCGCUUCCCAGCGGACGAGAGGUUCUACACCGCCGCAGUGAGACCAAAAGCGGAAGAUAUACUCACCAGAGACCGCAGGCGUCAUUAACCGACUGAGAGAUGAUGCACAAAGGUAUCGCAAGUCGGCGAAGUUAAAGAGCUGCCGAAAGGUUACCACGAGGAAAGCACUAAAGAAGUUGAUGCAUCAUGUGAGCCCGGAGUUCUACAUUCUCUUGCAGUGUCAGGUGACGCUCCAUUAUCGCAGGAGGAAGGGAAGGACAUGAGAAAUGUUUUCCGGAGCCCGUUGGUGUGGUCGCGCAGUUGGGCGGUGUGUCGACUGUACUGAAAGAUAUGCUAGACAUCAGUGUACUAUAAGAUUUUUUUUUUUUUGCUGUAGUAAGUGUCACAUACACCUGCUGCAAAGGUUCUGCUAUGCGUGGCUUAUGCUGCACAGAAAUUACAUCAAUAUGGAACUAAAAAAAAAGACCAUCUCGAGAGAAAACCCGCUGCAAAAGGAAAGCUCCAAACGCUUAAAAAUUAAGAAAAUAUUUCUUGCUGAUAUUUUAUUUUUUUUGUAGUGCCGAUAGCUUUUAGCUGCCUCCUGAUUAGCCUAUAUUUAGAAAAUAUUCCGGCAUAUUUCAAUAUUUGCGUGAUCAUCGUGCAACGUAUUCUUUCUGCAAACAGUCAUUGCUCCCACACUUGCACCCUCGUCUUCAAAGAUUAUUACAUAGCUCUAUACAUGGAUUUUCGGAUGCUAGAAUCUUCUUGAGCUUUCUUCAGUCAAGUUGUUCAAGUACUAAUGUGCCUCAACACUCUUCAAUGGUUUCAUUAAUAUAGCAAGAGUACAGGAGGGGGUACGGCCUCCUUUCGGCAAA